ACAACCUUGUAAGAGAAUGUCUGUCAGUGCUUUCAGCAGAAUUUAGAAACACAACACUUCCUAAACAGAUAUUUUGAGGCUGUGAGGCUGAACGUUUGAGAGUAUAUAUGAAAUAGAAACACACAAGUAUCUGAUUGAAGGAACUUCUGUAGAGUCCUGGUUCCAGAAGAUGAUGAUAGAAUUAUAGACAAACUUUAACAAAAGCUGCCUGAGAGUUUACAGGUUUUUAAUGUUAGAUUUAUUCAGUAAUUUAAUGAGUUAUCAGCAAAAAUCGUGUUCAUUUGAUGAACUUCAUUUCCUAAAACAUCCAGAAUUGGAGCUCAUAUCUUUGGCAGCUGUAAAGUUUCUGCUCCUUCAAAGUUCACAACACAAUGAAUUAAUUCCUAAAACACUCUCAAUGCUGGAGAGCGUUUGUGAUGCUGAAGCAUGAUCAGUUUUUCUGUUUCUUCUCUGGAGAUGCACAAUGAGGGACGUCUGCAGCGACUGAGAAAGAGUCUCACCACAUCCUGACAUGAGG
ensembl:lncRNA